UUCUAGCCCAAAGGUCCAAAGU
rnacentral:misc_RNA from 1 species